UCACCGGCCCCGCCUUAUGCACCUGUCGCUGAGCGGACCGCUGGGACCCAGGGCCUCGGGACGCCGCCUUCGUCCUGGGCACCAUGUGUUUGGAGCACACCAUGCGGUAUCAGGGUCACUGUCACAGAGAAGGAAGCAGACGUUUGGUAAUUAGGGUCAUCCAGUGGGCUCAGGCUGACACCACACCGUGUCGUCCCCACUCAGUCCCCCAACUUUACAAAGAUGAGCAGGGCCUUGGUGUGUGAAUGACCUGGAGAGAUGGACUGGAUUCAUUGCUCCGAACACUAGUGGGUGCCUGGCAACCAAACAUUAAUAUGAUGCCUGGAAAGUCAGCAAUGAGUCCUGAAGAUAAAAACUGCACACUAAGAACUGAAGCAGAAAUAAAAGGCUGGCUCCUUAAUGAUGAUUUUAAGGAUGAGGAACCUGGGUGCAGCAGGGAUGGCUUAUCUCUGUUCCACAAUACUCACCUUGUCCAGGGGCUGGAAUCAUGACAAGGUCAUCACUCACAUGACUCAGUUAAUGCUCAUCCUAGCUGGGAUGAGACCCAGCUGGGACUGUUGGCCAGCUGCAGCCUCGGCUUUUCCACAAUGCCAUGGCUUUAUU